rnacentral:rRNA from 1 species
UACGUAGGCAGCAAGCGUUGUUCGGAAUUACUGGGCGUAAAGAGUGUGUAGGCGGUGUUCUAAGUUUGUCGUGAAAUCUCCCGGCUUAACUGGGAGGGUGCGGCGAAAACUGGAAUGCUAGAGGAUGGGAGAGGUAAGCGGAAUUCCUGGUGUAGCAGUGAAAUGCGUAGAUAUCGUAAGGAAGACCAGUGGCGAAGGCGAAUCUCUGGACAGUUACUGACACUGAGGCACGAAGGCCAGGGGAGCAAACGGG